UACAGAGGUCUCAACCGUUGUUCGGAUUCAUUGGGCGUAAAGGGUGCGUAGGCGGUCGCGCAAGUCGGAUAUGGAAUCUCGGGGCUCAACCCCGAAACUGCAUUCGAUACUGCGUGGCUCGAGUGCUGGAGAGGAGACUGGAAUUUACGGUGUAGCAGUGAAAUGCGUAGAUAUCGUAAGGAAGACCAGUGGCGAAGGCGAGUCUCUGGACAGCAACUGACGCUGAGGCACGAAAGCUAGGGGAGCAAACAGG
rnacentral:rRNA from 1 species